rnacentral:rRNA from 1 species
UACGUAGGGGGCAAGCGUUGUCCGGAAUCAUUGGGCGUAAAGAGCGUGUAGGCGGCCCGAUAAGUCCGCUGUGAAAGUCCAGGGCUCAACCCUGGAAUGCCAGUGGAAACUGUCGGGCUAGAGUCCGGAAGAGGCGAGUGGAAUUCCUGGUGUAGCGGUGAAAUGCGCAGAUAUCAGGAGGAACACCAAUGGCGAAGGCAGCUCGCUGGGACGGUACUGACGCUGAGGCGCGAAAGCGUGGGGAGCAAACAGG